rnacentral:misc_RNA from 1 species
GUAGGUGAACCUGCGGAAGGAUCAUUCAGAAAAAGAUUUUUGGCUUGAUUAGAUCAACUGAAUUUCUUGUUGUUUAACAACUAAUACUGUGCACCUUUAAAACACUUUAGCUGGGUUGAUGGGUUUGUGCCGACAGACUCAACUGAUUCUUGGCUGAGAUUUAUCAAUCUACUGCAGUUUGAUAUCUCUGUUGCCUUGGGGGUAGAUGUGCUAGACGUGAAACUCAUACCAUAUCUUAACCUGAGGUUAA